rnacentral:lncRNA from 1 species
UCAGUGAUUAAUAGCAUACGAAAACUUAUUUUAAACAUGUUAAAUAAUUUGUUAUCGCGGUGAUUUACAUAUUAUCAUUUAUUUUAGUAUUUAUUGCUAUAAAAUGAAAAUUAAUAUUUUAUAUAAACUAAUAAUAUUAAUAUUUUAUACAAAUAUGUUAAAGUAUAAGUUAGUUGAUAUCAAUUAUAUAAUAAAUAAUUUAACAAGAUAAUUAUGAGUUGAUCAAAUAACUUAUAAUAUAUAUCGGUAAUAUAAGAUUAACUAUGAAUAAUUAAACUAGAUAACUAUGAAUUUAUCAAAUAACUUAUAAUGUAUAGCGGUAACAUAGAAUAGAAGAUCUUGCCCAAAAUCUAAACCUUAACCAGCAUUCGAUUACUUAUUUUCAAACAUGUAAACUAAUCUGUUAUCGUGAUAAUCUACAUAUUAUAUGUUAAAUUAAUACUAACACUAUUCAGCCGUGAUUGAUAGAAUUCGGUAACAUUGUUUAUCAGUGAUUAAUAGCAUUCGAUAACUUAUUUUUAAACAUGUUUAAAGAUCUGUUAUCGUGGUAAUUUACAUAUUAUAUGUACUAUAUAUUGAUCCAAUAUAUUUUUCAAUUUGUUAAUUGAUGUAUUAUACUUUAAGAUAUAGAUAACCAUAACAGUAAUGAGUUAUCAAUAGGUUUAACGUAUAAGUUAUAUAUUAUACCUUCUAAAUAUGAUGAACGGUUGGGAAAAUGUUCAUCAACGUCUCGAUAACACUAUUCAUCUACGGUUGAUAGCAUUCGAUAUAGCAUUUGUAAAAUGUUAAAUAAUUUGUUAUCGCGAUAAUUUACUUAUUAUAUGUUAAAUUACUUGUUAUUGUUAUAUAAAUGAAAAGUAACAGAGAUCACACCACGUGGCGUAGAUCCAUACAACAUCCUCAGCUCCUUUCAUGGUGGGACAAUCACCAACAGAGAUCACCACACGACAUAGAUCCACGAAUUCUAGCAGCAGUUUGAGAGAUCCCGUUCGUUGAUUCGUACAUGGAAGGUUUGGAGCAUAUAUGUAACGGAUUUGCAGGCUUCGAACAUUGGACGAACAACGCGAAGGCUUGUGAAGCGUUUC